rnacentral:rRNA from 1 species
CAGCCGCCGCGGUAAUACGAAGGGUGCAAGCGUUAAUCGGAAUACUGGGCGUAAAGCGUGCGUAGGCGGUGAGUUAAGUCUGCUGUGAAAUCCCCGGGCUCAACCUGGGAAUGGCAGUGGAUACUGGCUCGCUAGAGUGUGUCAGAGGAUGGUGGAAUUCCCGGUGUAGCGGUGAAAUGCGUAGAGAUCGGGAGGAACAUCAGUGGCGAAGGCGGCCAUCUGGGACAACACUGACGCUGAGGCACGAAAGCGUGGGGAGCAAACAGGAUUAGAUACCCCGGUAGUCCCUGUCUCUUAUACA